rnacentral:piRNA from 1 species
AUAUUUUCGGCUGGUAUCGGUGAUGUGCU